UGUGUAUGUAACUAUGUGUGUGACUGUCAUGUAUAUGUAGCUCUGUAGUUAAGUGUAUGUCUAUGUAUCUGUUUAUGAGUUUGGCAUGUGCAUAAGAUUGUAAGUGUAACUGUGUGUAUUCAUGUGUGUGAGUGUCUAGAAGUGUGACUAGAUAUUUGUGUGUGCUUGCAUGUGUGAGUGUCUAUGUGUGGCAGUGAAACUGCAGAUGUGUGUGGCUGUAUCUAUAUUUGUGUGUGUGUGCAUGUGUCUGAGUGUGUGUAAGUCCUAAAUAGCACUCACACUAUUUACAGUGGUCUGAAAACACCUCUCUGGGUGCUCCUUUGCACCUGGCCACUGGGGACACUGCCAAGUCAUGAUGCUGGACUUUGCUGACUUUCUUUUCCAUUCUUUCUGUUUUUCAAAUGUUGACCUUUAGACACAUUUCAGGACAGCACAUUCCUGUGGGAAAUCUGUGAGGUGGAAAAUCAAAAUUCUCCUGAUGACUGUUUAUAAAGAAUAACGGCUAGCUCAUGUCUUCAGUGUUUUAUAGAAGUGCUCACAUGUAAUCUAAACAAGAACUCUACAAGAGAGGUAUCCAGAGCCACAUUUUAUAGAUAAGGAAAUUGAGGCUCAGAGAGGACUAGAAAUUUGGCUAAGCUCCUGCAGCUGGAAGUCUUUGGUGGUCUGGCUGGAUGGAGCCAAGGUUUUGGAGGCAGCCUGGAGCAAGAGACAAUGCCUGAGAAUUGCCAUCAGAGGACCCAUUUUAAAUCUCGGCUGUACCACUUACCAAAAGAACACACACACUGACCCACUGUGCCUCAGUUUCCUCCUGUACAAAAUGGAGAUAAAAAUAGCAUCUAUCUGGUAGGGUCAUGGUAAAGCCUGAGUAAGACAAUUCUGGAGGCUUCUCAGUUGUCCGGCUGCCAGAGGGGUGGGAUGCUGCUCCCCUAAGACUCUUAGAUGUGGAGAACAAUGCAAAGUGCUAGACUUCUGCAAAGCCUUAUGUUUGAUCUGAAAAACCUGCUCAAAAGUAUCCAUGUGCUUCAGGAGAUAACUUUGUCUCUGCUUCUCACUUUCAGAGUUGGGGGCUGCAUCUGACAAGUGGCCGUGGUUUCAAGUCUCUGGAGUCCCAUUUUUUUCUCUUCCAUGGAGUUUGUUUGCUGCAGUUUGAGGAGCCGAGGCAUAUGAUAAAUACCAGGUGUCCUUAGAAGAAGAGGAGAUUGGGCCCCAGACACACAUGCACAGAAGAAAGACCACGUGAAGACAGAGGGAGAAGACGGCGAUCUACAAACCAAGGAAACAUCCUCAGAAUGAAACCAACCUUGCCAACCCCUGAUCCUAGACCUCCAGCCUCCACAACGGUCUUUGGACUCAGAUGGAAUUAUACCACGGGGUUUCCUGGGUCUCCAGCAUGCAGAUGGCAGAUUGUGGAACUUCUCAGCCUCCAAAAUCGAGUGAGCCAAUUCCCAUCAUAAAUCCCCUCUCCUGUGUCUAAAUAUGUCCUAUUGCUUCUCUUUCUCUGGAGAAUGCUGACUAAUACAGACAUAAUACAGCAGUCUUUGGGGAUGAUGUAUGAGUAUGUGGAGGAAGAACUAGACAUGAAGCAGAGUGUGCUUUCUUUAACAUAACUUUUUCAUUAAAAUAGUUGUAUGUGCUUCGUACAAAAACUUGGAAAAUACAGAAAUGUAAUGGAAAAAGGAAGAAGAAAAACUACCAUCCAUUAUUUUCUCUCCCUCCCUCCUCAAUCUCCAGGAGGAUUACAAUUAACCACAGUUUUCCCUUUAUUUUUCAGAGUUGGGAUUCUCCAGUAUGAAUAUUUUUGCUCUGAUUUUUAAAAUUAAUAUAGCUUACACUUUUCCCAAGACAUACUAAACUGCUCUCAAAUAUUUUAGUGGCUA
rnacentral:lncRNA from 1 species